UGUGUCUCUCUCUCACCUUUCCAGGCAACUUUUGCGAGAGCAAAGCUAUGGUUGAGGGAAUUAGAGAAGGAAUUUCUUCCCGAUGAGCUCGUGAUUGUUUUAGUCGGCAAUAAGAUAGAUCUUGCUGCUCAGCGGGAAUUCACCUUUGAGGAGGCGGAGGAGUUUGCAAAGAGCGAAAGCUUAAUCUACAUGGAAACAUCGGCAAAAUCCAACCACCAAGUGACCGAGGUGCUUAUGGCCAUAGCUCCCGAGUUAUUGAAAUAGGAACAACAGAAGGAACCAGCCCCUCAGCCUCAGCCCUGGAAGAAGUCACGCGUGGACCUGCGAGAGCCAAGCAAUCACACUAAGAAGUGUUGCAUGAACUAAAGGAAAUGGCAGACUGACCUAAGUGUUCGAUUGAAGAACUGUACGAGAGGAGAUAUUGCCCAAUGCAAGGAACCUGAAAAGCGCUGCAAGUCUCCUCUCGCUUGUGUUUGCUCAGUGUUAUCAUUAUACAAGAAUACAGUGCAAAAUAGCUUCACAAAUAAAAACAGCAAAAAGGA